UACCAAAAGCAAACUACGACGAUCCGUCAUGGGGAGUUACUUUUUCUCUGUCAAUUUUUUUUCUUUAAAUAAAACUUUUAUGUAGAGAGAGGGAGAAGUAUAUCAUCAAGUUUAUAUACAUAAUUUCAAACAAAGUUGAACACGAGAUUAUGAAAACCGGGAGGUCUGCUGCAGUAAGACAAAAAUGUAAUUAGUACUGACAUAAUCCAUGAUCGAAAUUUUCCUUCAUCUUGGUGACUUCUAACCACAUACUAAAUAUUAUCAAUAUCCAACCACGGAUCGAAUUGUGUUGCCAAGAAAUACAACCACCCUCCCAUAAACAAAUGGCAAGUGAAACGCAACUGCGAAGGCAUUAAGCUUCGAAUAAGAUCAUUUCUUCAGAUUCAAAAAGAAAGAAGGAUCGGUAUGAUAGGUUUUGUUUCUAUCUAAACAUGGGCAUUCUGCAAUAUGAGUACGUAGAUAUAAAUUUAGUAGGUGAAAAUGUAGAACCUCAAUACUGUGUCAGCUCUAUAUACUGAUACUAUUUAGGUAAACGGGCCGGUGCUUCUGACCCUGAUUCUAACCUUUGACCCAGAUUCAUGUUUUUGUUUCUGUGCUAUCAGCCAUUUUUGUUCGAAAUUUUCGGGCUUGCGAGCAUCUAAGGAAGAGGUAAUUUACCCCACGUUCCGUCUGAUGUUUUGGCUAGAAAGCAGCAUGUCCAGACAACAGGAGUUCAUCUGUGGCCUCUCGCAUGAGGUGACCAUAGCAGUCCUCCCCAGACUGAACAUGGAGGAGCUGAUGUUUGAAUUCAACAGAAGGAUUCAAAACCUGGAC